rnacentral:miRNA from 1 species
GUGUGUGGGAUACUGAUUUUAGA